rnacentral:snRNA from 1 species
AUGCUCACGUCAACAGCAUCUAUUUUAAAACUAGAAUGAAACAGAGAAGAUUAGCAUGCCCCCUGAGCAAGUAUGAUGCACAGAAUUUGUGAAUUGUUCAUAUUUUUG